AUACGGAGGGUGUAAGCGUUAAUCGGAAUUACUGGGCGUAAAGCGCGCGUAGGCGGUUUGGUAAGUCGGAUGUGAAAGCCCCGGGCUCAACCUGGGAAUUGCAUUCGAUACUGCCAGACUAGAGUAUGGUAGAGGGAAGUGGAAUUCCGGGUGUAGCGGUGAAAUGCGUAGAUAUCCGGAGGAACACCAGUGGCGAAGGCGACUUCCUGGACCAAUACUGACGCUGAGGUGCGAAAGCGUGGGGAGCAAACAGGAUUAGAAACCCUAGUAGUCC
rnacentral:rRNA from 1 species